rnacentral:lncRNA from 1 species
GGGAAGGGUUUGUUACCUGAAUGUGGAGGUGGGAUGUUGAUCCCACAGUUCCUUCCAGCUGCCAAACAAGCAGGGACAAGGACAAAGAAGAAUGAGCAGCUGGUGAGGAAUUUCCAGUGGAAUCCCAGCUGGCAGCUGUAGGGCUGUUCCCUCUUGUAAGGGUACAGAAAUAAGGACCAGAAUAAGGGUAAUGGUAUUUCCCAAGAAAUCCCCUUGGAUUUGUCCUGGACAAUUAAUCAAGUUCAGGCUGUGCAUUCACAAUUACAGGAUUAACAGCAAGAGAUCUGAGUGUUGUAUGGGUCAGCAGGGCUUCAUUUGUUUCAAGAAAAUACCUGCUUUGAUUUUAAUAAUUCCAUAAAACUAACUGGAUCGCCUUUUUCUCUAAUUCUGCAUAUUCAAAAGCACUUUUUACUAUUUUUGGCAUUCUGAAAUGCCUUCCAGAUCUGCAAAUUUUGGAGUGCCAGAAUGUUUGUUUCCUGUCUGUGCAUUUUGACCGUCCUUUAUCCAGUAACAGUUGAACACCUCCAGCUCUUAAGCCAUUCUCCUGAUCUUCUUUUUCACAGCCAAUAAAAAUAAACUGAAGUGUUUUACCACUGCAUGUGGUAUAUGCAGAUAAAAGUGUUAUCAGAAUAAAGGAACUAUCUGCAUGGAUGUCUGCAUUCUCUUCUUUGAGAAUCAAAACAUAAUCUGAACAGAAAUAAAUGCAACACUUUGUCAGAGUGAGAUACUGAGUCUCAGAAAUCUCCAAAUGUCAUAAAUUACAGACACACAUCAGCAAUUUGGUUCUCAAACCCAAAGACUCAGCUACUUUUGUGUCAGCUGGCCAAAGAGAAGAGGAAUGAGUGGAAUUUCCUUGUUUGUGUUAUCAAAAGGACUAAACAAGACAUUACGGUGGCUUUCUCUAAUUUCUGCCUUGGUGACUCCACAAGGCAGGGAGGAAAGAAUGAGUGAAAACUCCUGAAUGAAAACUCCUCUGCUUGGACAGCCACAUGGGAGGAUAAAAACAGGACAGAUUAAGUGUUCUGGGAGAGAGGGAUUUCCUGAGGAAUCCAAAAGUCACUCUGUUUUUCCUCUGGCCACAAUUCCUCAGUUACAUCGGGUUCAAAGAUCCUGCUCUUGUCUCAUUUUGGAAGCUGAACCAUCCUAAAUGUAUCUUGGUCCUGCAGAAAAUCCCCAGAGGAAAGCAAAGGCUCGAGGAGCAGAGCUGUGUCUGAGCAGGAAGAGGGAUUCAUCUCACCCAACCUUUAUGUAUCCAAACCAGAACCAAGAAAUCCCAAACAAAACACAAGAAAUUGUCUGAAUUUGGAGAGUUCAUUUUAAAACUGCUAAAGUGAGAGGAAGAAAAGAAAAUGAGUGGUCUCUAACUGGUCUCUAAAUAAAAUCCUUCUUCCCUUUCA